UACGGAGGGUGCAAGCGUUAUCCGGAUUCACUGGGUUUAAAGGGUGCGUAGGCGGCUGAUUAAGUCAAUGGUGAAAGCUCGCAGCUUAACUGUGAAACUGCCAUUGAUACUGGUUGGCUUGAGUACGAUUGAUGUGGGCGGAAUACAUCAUGUAGCGGUGAAAUGCUUAGAUAUGAUGUAGAACACCGAUUGCGAAGGCAGCUCACAAAAUCGCAACUGACGCUGAGGCACGAAAGCGUGGGGAGCAGACAGG
rnacentral:rRNA from 1 species